AUUGAACGCUGGCGGCAGGCCUAACACAUGCAAGUCGAACGGUAACAGGAAGCAGCUUGCUGCUUUGCUGACGAGUGGCGGACGGGUGAGUAAUGUCUGGGAAACUGCCCGAUGGAGGGGGAUAACUACUGGAAACGGUAGCUAAUACCGCAUAACGUCGCAAGACCAAAGAGGGGGACCUUAGGGCCUCUUGCCAUCGGAUGUGCCCAGAUGGGAUUAGCUAGUAGGUGGGGUAACGGCUCACCUAGGCGACGAUCCCUAGCUGGUCUGAGAGGAUGACCAGCCACCCUGGAACUGAGACCCGGUCCAGACUCCUACGGGAGGCAGCAGUGGGGAAUAUUGCACAAUGGGCGCAAGCCUGAUGCAGCCAUGCCGCGUGUAUGAAGAAGGCCUUCGGGUUGUAAAGUACUUUCAGCGGGGAGGAAGGGAGUAAAGUUAAUACCUUUGCUCAUUGACGUUACCCGCAGAAGAAGCACCGGCUAACUCCGU
rnacentral:rRNA from 1 species